CUCAAUCUUUCACGAGAAACUCUCUCCAAAUGAUUUUUUCCCAAAACUUUUCCUCUCUUUUCUACCAUAUUUUCUCCCAAAUUAAUUCAGAAUUUUUCUUGAAAUCUGAUGGAGGAGUGAUUAUCAAUUGAGGAUUAAUUUCUUGGCAUCAUAAUUGCAUAAUUGAAGCAAUUUCUCCUGUACAUAUUUUACUCUUGAUUUGUAAAGAGGGACGCGAUCUCAACAACACCAUGCGGGAAGAUCUCUCUGACCACAAACGGUCUAGACCAUCACAAACAAAGCUUACCCAGAAAUAGAGGUAAACGCAAAUCGAAAAGUAAUACUUUCUAUCUAAUGUGUAAUUCGCUUUUACGUAUGCGGC